UACGUAGGGGCAAGCGUUAUCCGGAAUUAUUGGGCGUAAAGAGUGCGUAGGUGGUUUUGUAAGCGCGGGGUGAAAGGCUAUGGCUCAACCAUAGUAAGCCUUGCGAACUGUGAGACUUGAGUGCAGGAGAGGAAAGUGGAAUUCCUAGUGUAGCGGUGAAAUGCGUAGAUAUUAGGAGGAACACCAGUGGCGAAGGCGACUUUCUGGACUGUAACUGACACUGAGGCACGAAAGCGUGGGGAGCAAACAGGAUUAGAUACCCUGGUAGU
rnacentral:rRNA from 1 species